GGUACGACAAACUGCAGCUAGCCAAAGACCCAAUGUAUUAUAGAACUCUGUCCAAUCUCCAAACAACUCACUCAUAACAAGUUAUUUAGCUAUCUACGUUUUCUUAUAAGAUACCUCGCACUGCCAUGCAUCACGUAUGUAAGCCUGGCAGGUUGAUAUGGAUAUGGAUAUCUCUACCCUAAUUGAUCCUCUAAUGAUAUCGGUAAUCAUGCAUGCAUCAAGCUGUGGAUGAUCUUGCAUCAUAUCUAUAUUCAAGCAUGUAUGUGGCCCUUUAUAUACUGUAAUUUUUCAUCGCUGCAUC
rnacentral:lncRNA from 1 species